UACGUAGGCAGCGAGCGUUGUUCGGAAUUACUGGGCGUAAAGAGUGUGUAGGCGGUGCUCUAAGUUCGGUGUGAAAUCUCCUGGCUUAACUGGGAGGGUGCGCCGGAAACUGGGGUGCUCGAGCGUGGGAGAGGAAAGCGGAAUUCCUGGUGUAGCGGUGAAAUGCGUAGAUAUCGGGAAGAACACCUAUGGCGAAGGCAGCUCUCUGGGACGGUACUGACGCUGAGACGCGAAAGCGUGGGGAGCGAACAGG
rnacentral:rRNA from 1 species